rnacentral:rRNA from 1 species
GGAAUUUUGCGCAAUGGGCGAACAGCCUGACGCAGCAACGCCGCGUGGGUGAAGAAGGCCUUUGGGUCGUAAAGCCCUUUUCUGAGGGAAGACAAUGACGGUACCUCAGGAAUAAGCACCGGCUAACUCCGUGCCAGCAGCCGCGGUAAUACGGAGGGUGCAAGCGUUGUUCGGAUUUACUGGGCGUAAAGGGCGUGUAGGCGGAUGUGCAAGCUGGGGGUGAAAGGCCAGGGCUUAACCCGGGACGGUCUCCCAGAACUGCACAUCUAGAGAGAGUCAGAGGCAGGUGGAAUUCCUGGUGUAGAGGUGAAAUUCGUAGAGAUCAGGAGGAACACCGGCGGCGAAGGCGGCCUGCUGGGACUCAUCUGACGCUGAGGCGCGAAAGCGUGGGGAGCA